rnacentral:rRNA from 1 species
UGAGAGGGUGACCGGCCACACUGGGACUGAGACACGGCCCAGACUCCUACGGGAGGCAGCAGUGGGGAAUCUUGCGCAAUGGGCGAAAGCCUGACGCAGCGACGCCGCGUGGGGGACGAAGGCCUUCGGGUUGUAAACCUCUUUCAGCAGGGAAGAAGCGAGAGUGACGGUACCUGCAGAAGAAGCACCGGCUAACUACGUGCCAGCAGCCGCGGUAAUACGUAGGGUGCAAGCGUUGUCCGGAAUUAUUGGGCGUAAAGAGCUCGUAGGUGGCGGGUCACGUCGGGUGUGAAAGCCCGGGGCUUAACCCCGGGUCUGCAUUCGAUACGGGCUUGCUAGGGUCCGGCAGGGGAGACUGGAAUUCCUGGUGUAGCGGUGAAAUGCGCAGAUAUCAGGAGGAACACCGGUGGCGAAGGCGGGUCUCUGGGCCGGUACCGACGCUGAGGAGCGAAAGCGUGGGGAGCGAACAGGAUUAGAUACCCUGGUAGUCCACGCCGUAAACGUUGGGCGCUAGGUGUGGGGAGCAUUCCACGUUCUCUGUGCCGUAGCUAACGCAUUAAGCGCCCCGCCUGGGGAGU